GUAGGGAAUAUUGCGCAAUGGGCGAAAGCCUGACGCAGCGACGCCGCGUGAGUGAUGAAGGACUUCGGUUCGUAAAGCUCUGUUGCAAGGGAAAAAGAAAGUGAUUGUACCUUGUGAGGAAGGGUCGGCUAACUUCGUGCAAGCAGCCGCGGUAAGACGAGGGAUCCUAGCGUUGUUCGGAAUCAUUGGGCGUAACGCGGGUGUAGGUGGCUCUCUAAGUCAGGUGGGAAAGCCCUGGGCUCAACCCAGGAAGUGCAUUUGAUGCUGGAGAGCUUGAGUGCUGGAGAGGCUAUUAGAAUUCCAGGUGUAGUGGUGAAAUACGUAGAUAUCUGGAGGAAUACCGGAGGCGAAGGCGGAUAGCUGGCCAGACACUGACACUCAGACCCGAAAGUGCGGGGAUCAAACAGGAUUAGAAACCCGGGUAGUCC
rnacentral:rRNA from 1 species